rnacentral:rRNA from 1 species
UACGUAGGGUGCGAGCGUUAAUCGGAAUUACUGGGCGUAAAGCGUGCGUAGGCGGUUAUCCAAGUCCGUUGUGAAAGCCCCGGGCUCAACCUGGGAAUGGCAGUGGAAACUAGGGGACUGGAAUCUGGCAGAGGGGGGUGGAAUGCCGCGUGUAGCAGUGAAAUGCGUAGAGAUGCGGCGGAACACCGAUGGCGAAGGCAGCCCCCUGGGCUGAGAUUGACGCUCAGGCACGAAAGCGUGGGGAGCAAACAGG